rnacentral:misc_RNA from 1 species
GCGAUCACUGCAAUCCUUGAAAAAUCCCCAUGAAUACAGUAACAGAGUUCCAGAUUGAGUACCACAUAUUACUUUUCUACCAUUCUUCAUAAUUACCACAGAGAGCAGCUCCUCUUCAGAAAAUUCAGAGCGAGUUUGGAUCUUACUGCUCCUUAAAUUGCAUACAGAAAGUGACCCAUCGCCACUUGUUGCUAAUAGUUUCAUGGAAUCAGCUGCAAAUGUAAUGUCUGAAAUGUAUUCUUCAUGUGCAUUAAAAGAAUGGGAGCAUGAGCGUUGUCUGGUAUCCCAUACCUUAAUGCAUCCUUCAUCGUCUCCGGAAGCAAUACUUGACUCAGUCAAAUUAACAAUUCGAUUAACAGCAGCCCCAUGGGAAUUCUCCAGGCGAACAAUUUCUGAGCCAGUCUCAAUGUCUGUUGCAAGAAUAGAACAAUCUGGAGAUCCCGUCACAAUUGCACGGCCCUCGUUGAUAAUCCGGACAGUUCUACAUGAUUCACUAUGAGCUUUUACUUCCAACAACUUCUGAGCCGGAGAAUCAGCAUUGUAACGGUACAAGAGAAGGUCGCCGGUGAUGAGUCCAGCAGCAACAAGGUGAUCGGAGGGAUGAAAAUCAAUGUCAAAUGGAAGCUUUCCAAGGUCUAUCUCCACGGCAGCCAUACUUCCCUGACAAGGGUUUAGGCUUAGGCUAGUGUAGGAUUUUUCACGUCUUU